ACAUUAGGCCAGAUGGUGAAAGGUUACAGAUGUAGGUCUAUUAACCCGGCUAGAUCCAGGGUCAAAGGUCACCAAAACACAAGUAAGACCGCAGGAGAAAUGGCCAGUAGUCAGUGAGAAGGGGGCGUGGUUCCUGGAUCAGGUUUGGAGAGGAACCGGGACAGAAGGGCCAUGGGUCGGGUUUGAAAUGUCACCGGGCCGGCGUUGUGGUUCCGGGUCGGCGGGCCGGAGGCCGCAGGUGCUGGUCCAGCACGGUGAUCCGCUCCGGGAACAGCGCAUCCACAUCGAACGGGAACUCCAUGGCCCAUUGUGCGGGACCAGACACGCCCCACACAACGUCACUUCCGCUAAGAGGGCCGGUCUGUGCCCCUGAGAUGCCAGGGCAACCAAGUAUCCUGCCCUCCCAGUGAACAGCUGAGGGAACCUUCAGAAGAACCAGUCUCACACCCCUUGGAGUUGCGGGUAGACCACACUCCCACCCCACCUCAUAGACUUCACACCCACGUUUUGAACAGACAGCCCAAAGGGAGUCAAGAACGGGUGAAGAGACACAGCUUUAUUGUAUAAAAGCUGAGCCAGGAGGUUUAAAUCAGGGACACACCAUCAAGGGCAUACACAAGAGUCUCCAGUUUAUAUGUAAGUCCUCACCAGUUACCCAUAAACAUCUAGUCCCCCUC